rnacentral:rRNA from 1 species
UACGGAGGGUGCAAGCGUUAAUCGGAAUUACUGGGCGUAAAGCGUGCGCAGGCGGUUAUGCAAGACAGAUGUGAAAUCCCCGGGCUUAACCCGGGAAUGGCAUUGGAUACUGCAGAUCUGGAGGAUCGGAGGGGGGACUGGAACUCUUGGUGUAGCAGUGAAAUGCGUAGAUAUCAAGAGGAACACCAGUGGCGAAGGCGAGUCCCUGGACGAUACCUGACACUGAGGCACGAAAGCUAGGGGAGCAAACAGG